rnacentral:rRNA from 1 species
CAAGCCCUGGAAACGGGGUCUAAUACCGGAUAUGACACGGGAAUGCAUGUUCCUGUGUGUAAAGCUCCGGCGGUGCAGGAUGAGCCCGCGGCCUAUCAGCUAGUUGGUGGGGUAGAGGCCUACCAAGGCGACGACGGGUAGCCGGCCUGAGAGGGCGACCGGCCACACUGGGACUGAGACACGGCCCAGACUCCUACGGGAGGCAGCAGUGGGGAAUAUUGCACAAUGGGCGAAAGCCUGAUGCAGCGACGCCGCGUGAGGGAUGACGGCCUUCGGGUUGUAAACCUCUUUCAGCAGGGAAGAAGCUUUCGGGUGACGGUACCUGCAGAAGAAGCACCGGCUAACUACGUGCCAGCAGCCGCGGUAAUACGUAGGGUGCGAGCGUUGUCCGGAAUCAUUGGGCGUAAAGAGCUCGUAGGCGGCUUGUCACGUCGGUUGUGAAAGCCCGGGGCUUAACCCCGGGUCUGCAGUCGAUACGGGCAGGCUAGAGUUCGGUAGGGGAGAUCGGAAUUCCUGGUGA